UACGGAGGGUGCAAGCGUUAUCCGGAUUUACUGGGUUUAAAGGGCGUGUAGGCGGGCCUUUAAGUCGGAGGUGAAAUCUCCGAGCUUAACUUGGAAACUGCCAUUGAUACUAUUGAUCUUGAAUUUUGUUGAGGUAGGCGGAAUAAGUCAUGUAGCGGUGAAAUGCAUAGAUAUGACUUAGAACACCAAUUGCGAAGGCAGCUUGCUAAACAAAUAUUGACGCUGAGGCACGAAAGCGUGGGGAUCAAACAGG
rnacentral:rRNA from 1 species